AUUGAACGCUGGCGGCAUGCUUUACACAUGCAAGUCGAACGGUAACAGGUUAAGCUGACGAGUGGCGAACGGGUGAGUAAUGCAUCGGAACGUGCCCGAUCGUGGGGGAUAACGCAGCGAAAGCUGCGCUAAUACCGCAUACGAUCUGAGGAUGAAAGCGGGGGACCGUAAGGCCUCGCGCGAUCGGAGCGGCCGGUGUCAGAUUAGGUAGUUGGUGGGGUAAAGGCCCACCAAGCCGACGAUCUGUAGCUGGUCUGAGAGGACGACCGGCCGCACUGGGACUGCGACACGGCGCAGACUCGUACGGGAGGCAGCAGUGGGGAAAUUUGGACAAUGGGCGAAAGACUGAUCCAGCAAUGCCGGGUGCAGGAAGAAGGCCUUCGGGUUGUAAACUGCUUUUGUACGGAGCGAAACGGUCCUUUCUAAUACAAGGGGCUCAUGACGGUACCGUAGGAAUAAGCACCGGCUAACUACGUGCCAGCCGCCGCCGUAA
rnacentral:rRNA from 1 species